AGAGUUUGAUCAUGGCUCAGAUUGAACGCUGGCGGCAUGCCUUACACAUGCAAGUCGAACGGCAGCGCGGGAGCAAUCCUGGCGGCGAGUGGCGAACGGGUGAGUAAUAUAUCGGAACGUGCCCUGUAGCGGGGGAUAACCUAUCGAAAGAUGGACUAAUACCGCAUACGCUCUACGGAGGAAAGCGGGGGUCGCAAGACCUCGCACUAUAGGAGCGGCCGAUAUCGGAUUAGCUAGUUGGCGGGGUAAAAGCCCACCAAGGCGACGAUCCGUAGCUGGUCUGAGAGGAUGAUCAGCCACACUGGAACUGAGACACGGUCCAGACUCCUACGGGAGGCAGCAGUGGGGAAUUUUGGACAAUGGGCGCAAGCCUGAUCCAGCCAUGCCGCGUGAGUGAAGAAGGCCUUCGGGUUGUAAAGCUCUUUCGGCAGGAACGAAAUGGUUCGUGCUAAUACCACGGACUGAUGACGGUACCUGAAGAAGAAGCACCGGCUAACUACGUGCCAGCAGCCGCGGUAAUACGUAGGGUGCAGGCGUUAAUCGGAAUUACUGGGCGUAAAGCGUGCGCAGGCGGUUUCUUAAGUCAGAUGUGAAAGCCCCGGGCUUAACCUGGGAACUGCGUUUGAAACUGGGAGACUUGAGUGUGGCAGAGGGGGGUGGAAUUCCACGUGUAGCAGUGAAAUGCGUAGAUAUGUGGAGGAACACCGAUGGCGAAGGCAGCCCCCUGGGUUAACACUGACGCUCAUGCACGAAAGCGUGGGGAGCAAACAGGAUUAGAUACCCUAGUAGUCC
rnacentral:rRNA from 1 species